CAAGUACUCCCUCCGUUCGGAAUUACUUGUCUCGGAAAUAGAUGUAUCUAGAAUUAAAAUACGUCUAGAUACAUCCAUUUUCGCGACAAGUAAUUCCGAACGGAGGGAGUAUGUA
rnacentral:pre_miRNA from 1 species